rnacentral:rRNA from 1 species
UACGUAGGUGGCAAGCGUUGUCCGGAUUUCCUGGGCGUAAAGAGCGCGCAGGCGGUCGUGCAAGUCGCGUGUGAAAGCCCCCGGCUCAACUGGGGAGGGUCACGCGAUACUGCUCGACUCGAAGGCAGGAGAGGGAAGUGGAAUUCCCGGUGUAGUGGUGAAAUGCGUAGAUAUCGGGAGGAACACCAGUGGCGAAGGCGACUUCCUGGCCUGUUCUUGACGCUGAGGCGCGAAAGCUAGGGUAGCAAACGGG